CAAUUCUUCUAAUUCAGAAGUACGGAACCAAAGAUGUCAAUGCCAUCUCGGGACCAGAAAGCACGCCCAAUUCUUCUAAUUCAGAAGUACGGAACCAAAGAUGUCAAUGCCAUCUCGGGA